rnacentral:rRNA from 1 species
GGGCCCGCACAAGCGGUGGAGCAUGUGGUUUAAUUCGAUGAUACGCGAGGAACCUUACCAGGGCUUAAAUGUAGUAUGACCGGCUUGGAAACAGGCCUUCUCUUCGGAGCAGAUUACAAGGUGCUGCAUGGUUGUCGUCAGCUCGUGCCGUGAGGUGUUAGGUUAAGUCCUGCAACGAGCGCAACCCCUAUUCUUAGUUGCCAGCGGUUCGGCCGGGGACUCUAAGAAGACUGCCAGCGCAAGCUGAGAGGAAGGUGGGGAUGACGUCAAAUCAUCACGGCCCUUACGUCCUGGGCUACACACGUGCUACAAUGGUAGAGACAGAGGGCAGCCACCUGGUGACAGGGAG